rnacentral:lncRNA from 1 species
GAAAGCACACCAGAGAGAGAUACCAUGGGGCAAACAGUGAAAGAAGACUCAAUGGGUGUAAAGAAGGAGAAUCAAGAGAGAGCUCCUCAAUCAGGCACAUCUGUGCAAAAUGAUAAUUUUCAGUGGGAAAAAUACUUGGAAGAGACUGGAUCUUUAAGUGCUCCUUCAGAGUAUUUCAGACAGUCUAAGAUUCCACCAGCUAAUGACUUCAAAGUUGGCAUGAAGUUGGAAGCCCAUGACCCUCGCAAUACGACUUCAGUAUGUAUUGCUACAGUUGUUGGAGUUACAGGUGCCAGGCUGCGUUUAAGAUUGGAUGGUAGUGAUAACCAAAAUGACUUUUGGCGGCUGGUUGAUUCUCCAGACAUACAGCCUGUUGGGACAUGUGAAAAGGAAGGGGACUUACUUCAGCCUCCACUGGGGUACCAGAUGAACACAUCAUCUUGGCCAAUGUUCCUCUUGCGAACACUGACUGGAUCUGAAAUGGCACCUGAAGCAUUCUUUAAGAAGGAACCACCAAAGCCACCUUUAAAUAAUUUUAAAGUGGGAAUGAAACUUGAAGCUGUAGACAGAAAGAACCCUUAUCUGAUCUGCCCUGCAACUAUUGGAAAUGUUAAAGGAGAUGAAGUUUAUAUCACAUUUGAUGGCUGGAGCGGAGCUUUCAAUUAUUGGUGCAAGUAUGAUUGUCGAGAUAUUUUCCCAGUUGGGUGGUGUAACCUGACAGGAGAUACAUUACAACCACUAGGAAGUAAUGUUCUUGUUACAAAGAAUACCACAAAAACACAGCCGCCUCCUUCCAAGGCAGCUCAGCGCUCAAUGCAGUCUCCACAGAACAGUGCUAUAAUAUUACCAACACAUCAGAUUAAGAAAUCAGGUCGGCCUAAACCACCUGGAUAUCCUUCAGUCCCCAAGAAGGGAAGUUCUGUUAAGAAUACCACAACAAAGAAAAAAGGCCCACACUCAGGAAGAAAGGGAAAAUGUAUUCCUGUCAUUUGCUCCACAUCUUCAACUUCUCUAAAUGCACUGGCCAGAGAACGUGGUAACAUUUCAUAUGAUAAGGAUGCUGUCCCUGGGUCAUCUAAAAUAGUGAUGUCUACAGUCUGUGUCUAUAUAAACAAACAUGGAAACUGUGGCCCUCACCUGGAUCAGAAGAAAAUCCAGCAGCUGCCAGACCACUUUGGCCCAGGCCCUGUCAAUGUGGUGCUCCGGCAGACGGUGCAGGCCUGUGUGGAUUGUGCCAUUCAAAGUAAGACUGUUUUUGAAUUCCUUAAGCCAGAUGAUCGUGGAGGAGAAGUGAUAACCGCUGCUUUUGAUGGGGAAAUUCAUUCCAUCCAGCUGCCUCCAGUGAACAGUGCAUCAUUUGUUCUUCGCUUUCUUGAGAACUUGUGCCACAGCCUGCAGUGUGAUAACCUUUUAAGUAGCCAGCCUUUUAGCUCUUAUAGAGGUAAUACUCAUAGUCCUGAAGAGAAUGAUCAAAAUAAACCAGUAGAAGAAGAUAUAACAGAAAAGAAAAUCACCAAACGACCUUCUGAGCAACCUCUGCCUUAUGUUGCUCCUCUCUCUCCUAAGCAACCCAGAAUAAUAGUGCAUGCCUCUGAAGAGGAAGUAUUACCUUCUGAGGAAGAUGGCAUGGCCAAAGAGGAAAAGCUUUCUGAAGAGUCCAAGAAGUCACCACUUAGUUCAGCAAAUUCUUUGAGUCCUGUCAGAAAAAAUCCUAUAAGCACUCAUACUCCAGUCUCCAUGAAUGGUUCUCAAAGUGUGCCAUGCACCUCAAGCCCCAAAGUAGUGGAGACCAAAUCAUCUAUCAAGAGUAGUCAGCUUGAAGUUGAAUUUGAAAUGCAGAGGGAAAGUGAAGUUGAAGCUCCAAGUUAUAUAGCUGUACCUGACCCCAGUGUCCUGAAGCAAGGCUUCUCUAAGGACCCUGAAACCUGGUCUGUGGAUGAAGUGAUACAGUUUAUGAAACAUAAAGAUCCUCAGAAGUCAGGCCCCCUUGCUGACCUCUUCAGGCAACAUGUAAUGUAUCUUUUGAUCCAGUUUUCCUGCUGUAAUGACUUUGAAUUAUCUCUUUGCAGGCCCUUCAGUUGGUUACUGAUUAGUGUGGAUGGUGGGGGAACCCUAUCAACUGAUUUUUCCAUAUUUGAGAGAGUUCACUUUGCCCAAAGUUAG